UACGUAGGGUGCGCGCGUUAAUCGGCAUUACUGGGCGUAAAGCGUGCGCAGGCGGUUUUGUAAGUCAGAUGUGUAAUCCCCGAGCUCAACUUGGGAACUGCGUUUGAAACUACAAGACUAGAGUAGGGCAGAGGGGGGUAGAAUUCCACGUGUAGCAGUGAAAUGCGUAGAGAUGUGGAGGAAGACCAAUGGCGAAGGCAGCCCCCUGGGAUCAUACUGACGCUCAUGCACGAAAGCGUGGGGAGCAAACAGG
rnacentral:rRNA from 1 species